AGUCGAACGAGAAUCAACGACUGGAGGCUUCGGUCAAAGGUGGUUGAGGACAGUGGCGGACGGGUGAGUAACGCGUGAGCAACCUGCCCUUCGGAGGGGGACAACAGCUGGAAACGGCUGCUAAUACCGCAUAACAUAUGCAUACUGCAUGGUAUGGAUAUCAAAACUGAGGUGCCGAGGGAUGGGCUCGCGUCUGAUUAGCUAGUUGGCAGGGUAACGGCCUACCAAGGCGACGAUCAGUAGCCGGACUGAGAGGUUGAACGGCCACAUUGGGACUGAGAUACGGCCCAGACUCCUACGGGAGGCAGCAGUGGGGAAUAUUGGGCAAUGGGGGAAACCCUGACCCAGCAACGCCGCGUGAAGGAAGAAGGCUUUCGGGUUGUAAACUUCUUUGACGAGGGACGAAGGAAGACGGUACCUCGAAAACAAGCCACGGCUAACUACGUGCCAGCAGCCGCGGUAAUACGUAGGUGGCAAGCGUUGUCCGGAUUUACUGGGUGUAAAGGGCGCGUAGGCGGGAUAGCAAGUCAGAUGUGAAAUGUAUGGGCUUAACCCAUGAACUGCAUUUGAAACUGUAAUUCUUGAGUAUCGGAGANGCAGGCGGAAUUCCUAGUGUAGCGGUGAAAUGCGUAGAUAUUAGGAGGAACACCAGUGGCGAAGGCGGCCUGCUGG
rnacentral:rRNA from 1 species